AAUAAACAUACCUUGAACAAUAAUUUCAUGAGUUUGGCUUGAUAGAAAUAAGUUUAACAUAACAGUAGUAUAUUCAACUCAGAAAUUUCAUGUUUGUUGAAUGACUGUAUGGAUAGAUAGUUGGAAGAAUAGAUGAGUAAACUGAUAGAUAAGGAUGCUUGGCAAUGCUCUAAGUGCUUAAAAAUUGCAUUGGUAUGGGCUGGGGACAUAGUUCAGCAGCAGAGCAUUUGUCUACCGUGUGCCAGGCCCUGGGUUCCAUCCCAGCACCACCAUACAACACACACUCAAAAAAUUAAAUAAAUUUCAUCUUUUAAAAAAUUAGUGUAGAAAAUUGUGUGUUCUUUAAUUUUAAAUUAAUAAAAAUUCUAUAUAUUAAUGAUGCACAACAUAAUGUUUUGGUAUGUUUGUAUACACUGUGGAAUGGCUAAAUCAAGCAAUUUAGCAUAUGCAUUACCUCACAUAGUUACACACCCCCUCCUCUCCACCCUGUGGUAAGAACACUUAAAAUACUGUCUUAGCAAUUUUCAAUUGCAACAUAUUAACUGUAGUCAUCAUGGUGUAUACAAAUUUUGAUUUCUA
rnacentral:lncRNA from 1 species